rnacentral:rRNA from 1 species
AUACGUAUGUCGCAAGCGUUAUCCGGAUUUAUUGGGCGUAAAGCGCGUCUAGGCGGCUUAGUAAGUCUGAUGUGAAAAUGCGGGGCUCAACCCCGUAUUGCGUUGGAAACUGCUAAACUAGAGUACUGGCGAGGUAGGCGGAACUACAAGUGUAGAGGUGAAAUUCGUAGAUAUUUGUAGGAAUGCCGAUGGGGAAGCCAGCCUACUGGACAGAUACUGACGCUAAAGCGCGAAAGCGUGGGUAGCAAACAGGAUUAGAUACCCUGGUAGUCCACGCCGUAAACGAUGAUUACUAGGUGUUGGGGGUCGAACCUCAGCGCCCAAGCUAACGCGAUAAGUAAUCCGCCUGGGGAGUACGUACGCAAGUAUGAAACUCAAAUGAAUUGACGGGG